AAACCAUGCUCUCUCCUCCCUGCCCCGUGCUCCCGCUGCCGGUCCCACCCUAUGCAAGGCACACACUCCAUGGGGCAGUAAAGGGAGAAAGACCUAAAUCCUUUCCAGUCUGAAGGCUGGGCUUUCUGCCAUCCUGUCCCAGUCCCACACCCUCUAAAUAAGCUCCCAGACCUCAAAUUCUCUUUAACUGAAGAUCCUAGGCCUGUUUGUUACACCCUGUUCAAUCUCCUUGCUUAUCAGUUCCUCCAGCACCUCUUACUCUUUCCCUCCCAGGAGCAGCCUUUCCAGCCAUCUCUUUAUACUACCUUUGUGGUCAGAGCUGAGCAAACCCCCUGAAACCCAGAAAAAGCUUGCAGAGACAGAUAACCCCAGACAGGGAAGGGGGAACAGAUUGUGCAGCUGGAUAUAACAGAGAAGAGAGGCCACUCUGCUCAUGCUGCAGCCACCCAGGCUCAGCUUCUGGAUGCCAUGUGGCGCUGCAAAGCCACAAGGGCACUGGCCCCACUGCACGCAGGGGGAGUUAUCUGGGGACAGCAUCUCUGUUCCACCUGAUACAACUUUCCCUGCAUGUCCAGAUGAGGGACAGUUAUAAUGCAAACAAUCCUGGCGAUUUUCUCAAGCUGAUAGCACACGAGCAGGGAGAAAGAACACAGCUGUUCAGCUUCCAGCAGUUCUCAGCCCCAGGAGCUUCCUUGCCUCCUGAGAGUACCACUGGUCCAUCUCCCAGACAAGCUCAAGAAAUGAAAUACACCACCAGGAAAUGAACAUGCCCAGGACAACUCCACACCAUGCUGCAUGCAUAGAAAUCCCAGGAGGAUACUCCUGUCUCCCUUAUCAUAUUAUGUUGCUGUCCUUGGCCCAGGUAGGAUUUCUUAUCAGGCUCAGCAGAGUAAUGCCAUGGUUGCUCACAGAGCUCCAGGCCCCCCUCUCUGCAAGCACUUACCCACCCAGACUGAAGUCUUUUGGGCUGGUGGUGCAGCUGUGCCCUCCCCAGUCACCUGGAAGAGUCACUGGAAGGUACCUGAUCUGCAUGAUCCUACGUACACCACUUCUACCAUAGGCUACACAACUGAAAUCCAGAAGGAUUUGGU